rnacentral:rRNA from 1 species
GUUAGAACGCUCGUAGUCGGAUUUCGGGGCGGGUGACCGGUCUGCCGAUGGGUACGCACUGGUCGGCGCGUCCUUCCUUCCGGAGACCGUGCCUACUCUUAACUGAGCGGGGGCGGGAGACGGAUCGUUUACUUUGAAAAAAUCAGAGUGUUUCAAGCAGGCAGCUCGCUCUUGCAUGGAUUAGCAUGGGAUAAUGAAAUAGGACUUUGGUGCUAUUUUGUUGGUUUCGAACACCGAAGUAAUGAUUAACAGGGACAGUCAGGGGCACUCGUAUUCCGCCGAGAGAGGUGAAAUUCUCAGACCAGCGGAAGACGAACUACUGCGAAAGCAUUUGCCAGGGAUGUUUUCACUGAUCAAGAACGAAAGUUAGGGGAUCGAAGAGGAUCAGAUACCCUCGUAGUCUUAACCAUAAACCAUGCCGACUAGGGAUUGGGGGAUGUUCACAUAUCGACUCCCUCAGCACCUUACGGGAAACUAAAGUCUUUGGGUUCCGGGGGGAGUAUGGUCGCAAGGCUGAAACUUAAAGGAAUUGACGGAAGGGCACCACCAGGUGUGGAGCCUGCGGCUUAAUUUGACUCAACACGGGGAAACUUACCAGGUCCAGACAUUGUGAGGAUUGACAGAUUGAGAGCUCUUUCUUGAUUCGAUGGGUGGUGGUGCAUGGCCGUUCUUAGUUGGUGGAGUGAUUUGUCUGGUUAAUUCCGUUAA